rnacentral:rRNA from 1 species
CAGGCUUAACACAUGCAAGUCGAGGGGCAGCAUGGUCUUAGCUUGCUAAGGCCGAUGGCGACCGGCGCACGGGUGAGUAACACGUAUCCAACCUGCCGUCUACUCUUGGACAGCCUUCUGAAAGGAAGAUUAAUACAAGAUGGCAUCAUGAGUCCGCAUGUUCACAUGAUUAAAGGUAUUCCGGUAGACGAUGGGGAUGCGUUCCAUUAGAUAGUAGGCGGGGUAACGGCCCACCUAGUCUUCGAUGGAUAGGGGUUCUGAGAGGAAGGUCCCCCACAUUGGAACUGAGACACGGUCCAAACUCCUACGGGAGGCAGCAGUGAGGAAUAUUGGUCAAUGGGCGAGAGCCUGAACCAGCCAAGUAGCGUGAAGGAUGACUGCCCUAUGGGUUGUAAACUUCUUUUAUAAAGGAAUAAAGUCGGGUAUGCAUACCCGUUUGCAUGUACUUUAUGAAUAAGGAUCGGCUAACUCCGUGCCAGCAGCCGCGGUAAUACGGAGGAUCCGAGCGUUAUCCGGAUUUAUUGGGUUUAAAGGGAGCGUAGAUGGAUGUUUAAGUCAGUUGUGAAAGUUUGCGGCUCAACCGUAAAAUUGCAGUUGAUACUGGAUAUCUUGAGUGCAGUUGAGGCAGGCGGAAUUCGUGGUGUAGCGGUGAAAUGCUUAGAUAUCACGAAGAACUCCGAUUGCGAAGGCAGCCUGCUAAGCUGCAACUGACAUUGAGGCUCGAAAGUGUGGGUAUCAAACAGGAUUAGAUACCCUGGUAGUCCACACGGUAAACGAUGAAUACUCGCUGUUUGCGAUAUACAGCAAGCGGCCAAGCGAAAGCGUUAAGUAUUCCACCUGGGGAGUACGCCGGCAACGGUGAAACUCAAAGGAAUUGACGGGGGCCCGCACAAGCGGAGGAACAUGUGGUUUAAUUCGAUGAUACGCGAGGAACCUUACCCGGGCUUAAAUUGCAGAUGAAUUACGGUGAAAGCCGUAAGCCGCAAGGCAUCUGUGAAGGUGCUGCAUGGUUGUCGUCAGCUCGUGCCGUGAGGUGUCGGCUUAAGUGCCAUAACGAGCGCAACCCUUGUUGUCAGUUACUAACAGGUUCCGCUGAGGACUCUGACAAGACUGCCAUCGUAAGAUGUGAGGAAGGUGGGGAUGACGUCAAAUCAGCACGGCCCUUACGUCCGGGGCUACACACGUGUUACAAUGGGGGGUACAGAGGGCCGCUACCACGCGAGUGGAUGCCAAUCCCAAAAACCUCUCUCAGUUCGGACUGGAGUCUGCAACCCGACUCCACGAAGCUGGAUUCGCUAGUAAUCGCGCAUCAGCCACGGCGCGGUGAAUACGUUCCCGGGCCUUGUACACACCGCCCGUCAAGCCAUGGGAGCCGGGGGUACCUGAAGUGCGUAACCGCGAGGAGCGCCCUAGGGUAAAACUGGUGACUGG